rnacentral:rRNA from 1 species
UACAGAGGGUGCGAGCGUUGUCCGGAAUUAUUGGGCGUAAAGAGCUUGUAGGCGGUCUGUCGCGUCUGCUGUGAAAAUCCGGGGCUCAACCCCGGACUUGCAGUGGGUACGGGCAGACUAGAGUGUGGUAGGGGAGACUGGAAUUCCUGGUGUAGCGGUGGAAUGCGCAGAUAUCAGGAAGAACACCUGCGGCGAAGGCGGGUAGCUGGGCCGG